rnacentral:rRNA from 1 species
UACGAAGGGGGCUAGCGUUGCUCGGAAUCACUGGGCGUAAAGCGCACGUAGGCGGCUUACUAAGUCAGGGGUGAAAUCCUGGAGCUCAACUCCAGAACUGCCUUUGAUACUGGUAAGCUCGAGUCCGGGAGAGGUGAGUGGAACUGCGAGUGUAGAGGUGAAAUCCGUAGAUAUUCGCAAGAACACCAGUGGCGAAGGCGGCUCACUGGCCCGGUACUGACGCUGAGGUGCGAAAGCGUGGGGAGCAAACAGG